GAGUUUGAUUAUGGCUCAGAGUGAACGCUGGCGGCGUGCCUAAUACAUGCAAGUCGAACGGAGAUUAAGUAGCUUGCUAUUUAAUCUUAGUGGCGCACGGGUGAGUAAUAUAUAGCUAAUCUGCCCUACACUAGAGGACAACAGUUGGAAACGACUGCUAAUACUCUAUACUCCUUCUAAGCAUAAGCUUAGUCGGGAAAGUUAAUAAAAUUUGCUUUUUGGUUUCAUCUUGAGAGAUAUGGACGUAUAACAACUAAAUUGAUACGCCGAUGUGGCAAACAUCGGUGUGCUUUAGGUGGGUCAAGGGAGCGCUUGCGCUUCUUGUCGCAAAGAAAGGCUUUGCCUUUCUGCGAAGUCCGUAUUUGUCAAGAUGAAAUCUUGCAAAUGUAUUUUUUCGGUGUAGGAUGAGGCUAUAUCGUAUCAGCUAGUUGGUGAGGUAAUGGCUCACCAAGGCUAUGACGCGUAACUGGUCUGAGAGGAUGAUCAGUCACACUGGAACUGAGACACGGUCCAGACUCCUACGGGAGGCAGCAGUAGGGAAUAUUGCUCAAUGGGGGAAACCCUGAAGCAGCAACGCCGCGUGGAGGAUGACACUUUUCGGAGCGUAAACUCCUUUUCUUGGGAAAGAAUUAUGACG
rnacentral:rRNA from 1 species